rnacentral:rRNA from 1 species
GAUGAACGCUGGCGGCGUGCCUAAUACAUGCAAGUCGAGCGAACGGACGCUAAGCUUGCUUUUCUGAUGUUAGCCGAGGACGGGUGUGUAACACGUGGAUAACCUACCUAUAAGACUGGGAUAACUUCGGGAAACCGGAUCUAAUACCGUAUGAUCUUUUGAACCGCAUGGUUCAAAAGUGAGAGACGGUCUUGCUGUCACUUAUAGAUGGAUCCGCGCUGCAUUAGCUAGUUGUUAAGGUAACAGCUUACGAAGGCAACGAUGCAUAGCCGACCUGAGGGGGUGAUCGGCCACACUGGAACUGAGACACGGUCCAGACUCCUAAGGGAGGCAGCAGUAGGGAAUCUUCCGCAAUGGGCGAAAGCCUGACGGAGCAGCGCCGCGUGAGUGAUGAAGGUCUUCGGAGCGUAAAACUCUGUUAUGAGGGAAGAACAUAUGUGUAAGUAACUGUGCACAUCUUGACGGUACCUAAUCAGAAAGCCACGGCUAACUACGUG